rnacentral:rRNA from 1 species
AUUGAACGCUGGCGGCGUGCCUAACACAUGCAAGUCGAGCGGCAGCGCGGGGGCAACCCUGGCGGCGAGCGGCGGACGGGUGAGCAAUAUUUGGGAAUCUGCCUAUUAGUGGGGGACAACCCGGGGAAACUCGGGCUAAUACCGCAUACGCACUACGGUGGAAAGCCGGGGACCGCAAGGCCUGGCGCUAAUAGAUGAGCCCAAAUCGGAUUAGCUAGUUGGUGAGGUAAUGGCUCACCAAGGCUACGAACCGUAGCUGGUCUGAGAGGACGAACAGCGACACCGGAACGAAGACGCGGUCCGGACUCCUACGGGAGGCAGCAGUGGGGAAUAUUGGACAAUGGGCGAAAGCCUGAUCCAGCGACGCCGCGUGGGUGAAGAAGGCCUGCGGGUUGUAAAGCCCUUUCGGUGGGGAAGAUAAGCCUCGACCUAACACGUCGGGGUCUUGACGUAACCCAUAAAAGAAGCACCGGCUAACUCUGUGCCAGCAGCCGCGGUAAGAC